UCCUCGUUAGUAUAGUGGACAGUAUCUCCGCUUGUCACGCGGAGGCAAAGACCGGGGUUCGAUUCCCCGACGGGGAG